rnacentral:rRNA from 1 species
AUUGCACAAUGGGCGAAAGCCUGAUGCAGCGACGCCGCGUGAGGGAUGACGGCCUUCGGGUUGUAAACCUCUUUCAGCAGGGAAGAAGCGAAAGUGACGGUACCUGCAGAAGAAGCGCCGGCUAACUACGUGCCAGCAGCCGCGGUAAUACGUAGGGCGCAAGCGUUGUCCGGAAUUAUUGGGCGUAAAGAGGUCGAAGGCGGCUUGUCACGUCCGUUGUGAAAGCCCGGGGCUUAACCCCGGGUCUGCAGUCGAUACAGGCAGGCUAUAGUUCGGUAGGGGAGAUCGGAAUUCCUGGUGUAGCGGUGAAAUGCGCAGAUAUCAGGAGGAACACCGGUGGCGAAGGCGGAUCUCUGGGCCGAUACUGACGCUGAAGAGCGAAAGCUGGGGGAGCGAACAGGAUUAGAUACCCUGGUAGUCCACGCCGUAAACGGUGGGCACUAGGUGUGGGCAACAUUCCACGUUGUCCGUGCCGCAGCUAACGCAUUAAGUGCCCCGCCUGGGGAGUACGGCCGCAAGGCUAAAACUCAAAGGAAUUGACGG